GGUGAACACGGAGCUUGCUCUGUGGGAUCAGUGGCGAACGGGUGAGUAACACGUGAGCAACCUGCCCCUGACUCUGGGAUAAGCGCUGGAAACGGCGUCUAAUACUGGAUAUGUGACGUGACCGCAUGGUCUGCGUCUGGAAAGAAUUUCGGUUGGGGAUGGGCUCGCGGCCUACCAGCUUGUUGGUGAGGUAAUGGCUCACCAAGGCGUCGACGGGUAGCCGGCCUGAGAGGGUGACCGGCCACACUGGGACUGAGACACGGCCCAGACUCCUACGGGAGGCAGCAGUGGGGAAUAUUGCACAAUGGGCGCAAGCCUGAUGCAGCAACGCCGCGUGAGGGACGACGGCCUUCGGGUUGUAAACCUCUUUUAGCAGGGAAGAAGCGAAAGUGACGGUACCUGCAGAAAAAGCGCCGGCUAACUACGUGCCAGCAGCCGCGGUAAUACGUAGGGCGCAAGCGUUAUCCGGAAUUAUUGGGCGUAAGGAGCUCGUAGGCGGUUUGUCGCGUCUGCUGUGAAAUCCGGAGGCUCAACCUCCGGCCUGCAGUGGGUACGGGCAGACUAGAGUGCGGUAGGGGAGAUUGGAAUUCCUGGUGUAGCGGUGGAAUGCGCAGAUAUCAGGAGGAACACCGAUGGCGAAGGCAGAUCUCUGGGCCGUAACUGACGCUGAGGAGCGAAAGGGCGGGGAGCAAACAGGCUUAGAUACCCUGGUAGUCCACCCCGUAAACGUUGGGAACUAGUUGUGGGGUCCAUUCCACGGAUUCCGUGACGCAGCUAACGCAUUAAGUUCCCCGCCUGGGGAGUACGGCCGCAAGGCUAAAACUCAAAGGAAUUGACGGGGACCCGCACAAGCGGCGGAGCAUGCGGAUUAAUUCGAUGCAACGCGAAGAACCUUACCAAGGCUUGACAUAUACGAGAACGGGCCAGAAAUGGUCAACUCUUUGGACACUCGUAAACAGGUGGUGCAUGGUUGUCGUCAGCUCGUGUCGUGAGAUGUUGGGUUAAGUCCCGCAACGAGCGCAACCCUCGUUCUAUGUUGCCAGCACGUAAUGGUGGGGAAC
rnacentral:rRNA from 1 species